GUAGGGAGCGAGCGUUGUCCGGAUUUACUGGGUGUAAAGGGUGCGUAGGCGGCCCUGCAAGUCAGAAGUGAAAUCCAUGGGCUUAACCCGUGAACUGCUUUUGAAACUGCAGGACUUGAGUGGAGUAGAGGUAGGCGGAAUUCCUGGUGUAGCGGUGAAAUGCGUAGAGAUCGGGAGGAACACCAGUGGCGAAGGCGGCCUACUGGGCUUUAACUGACGCUGAAGCACGAAAGCGUGGGUAGCAAA
rnacentral:rRNA from 1 species